rnacentral:sRNA from 1 species
UCCAGGUGCAGUGGCACAUGCCUGUAAUCCCAGCAGCUAGGGAGGCUGAGACAGGAGGAUCGCAAGUUCAAAGCCAGCCUCAGCAAUGGUGAGGCGCUUAGCAACUCGGUGAGACCCUGUCUCUA